UUUCUCUUAUUUCUUAUAAGAUUUUCAGUUCAAUAUAUCGGGGGAAUGGUUUUGGUUUACGGGGCUUUGUGCGAAGCCCAAGAUGAAGAGGAAGAUGAUGCUAAAAGACCGAAGAAUUUGACUUAUUAUCGCAUUCAUGAUUUACCAGAGAACUUGUCCCAAUCGAGUGACCACCAGGUACGAGGAAACGCUGAAAAGUGAAGGCUGCUCAAACGUUGCCUUCAUCAAGACUUCCCUGUAUAUCCAAAUCUUCAAGUACAGGGAGGUAAGAUAAAACAUUUUUCACUGAGUUGCCUAAUUUCAGUGAAAACUUAUAGACAAAAUGGUGGUCCUCACAGCAUAUUUCGUUGGAAGAAACGAAAGUAUGUGAGAAGAAGCACCACGGCAUGACCCACUGGUUAGGAAAAAUUUCAGGUUCAAAUUUUACACAGUACAUUCUGGGUUCGAUUCCUGGUUUUGAUGAAUCACACGAUGGUGACUAGGGGACUCUGAAAUGCUUCUGUGAGUCUUCCCGAGCCCCGAAAUGAUGGACUGCAGUGGCGAAGCCACCAGCUGACCCCUUUUUAAAAGAGAAAAAAAAAGAAAAAAAGUAUGCGAGAAGAAGAUCAUUUUGUUAAUCACUUAUCCUAUCACUAACUCCUUGACACUUCGGCAACCCAUUUGUACCAGGAUACUUAAUUUAGACAUUUGUAUCUCCAUUUCAGUUAAAAAUGAAAAAAGUAUAUAU